ensembl:lncRNA
GGUGUUUGCACUUGGACUUGUCUCUGGUGUAGUGGUGUUUGUACUUGGACUUGUCUCUGGUGUGGUGGUGUUUGUACUUGGACUUGUCUCAGGUGUAGUGGUGUUUGUAUUUGGACUUGUCUCUGGUGUAGUGGUGUUUGUAUUUGGACUUGUCUCAGGUGUAGUGGUACUUGGACUUGUCUCUGGUGUAGUGGUGUUUGUGCUUGGACUUGUCUCUGGUUUAGUGAUAUUUGUAUUUUGACUUGUCUGAGGUAGUGGUAUUUGCACUUGGACUUGUCUCUGGUGUAGUGGUGUUUGUAUUUGGACUUGUCUCUGG